GGGAGCCUGAGAAACGGCUACCACAUCCAAGGAUGGCAGCAGGCGCGCAAAUUACCCAAUCCCGACACGGGGAGGUAGUGACAAUAAAUAGCAAUACGGGGUUCUUUCGGAUCUCGUAAUUGGAAUGAGUACAAUUUAAAUCUCUUAACGAGGAACAAUUGGAGGGCAAGUCUGGUGCCAGCAGCCGCGGUAAUUCCAGCUCCAAUAGCGUAUANNNAAGUUGUUGCAGUUAAAAAGCUCGUAGUUGAAUUUCGGGGUUAGUAGGUUGGUCAUGCCUCUGGUAUGUACUGAUCUCACUGAUUCCUCCUUCCUUAUGAACCGUAAUGCCAUUAAUUUGGUGUUGCGGGGAAUUUGGACUGUUACUUUGAAAAAAUUAGAGUGUUUAAAGCAGGCUAACGCUUGAAUACAUUAGCAUGGAAUAAUGAAAUAGGACGUUCGAUCUUAUUUUGUUGGUUUCUAGGAUUGACGUAAUGAUUAAUAGGGAUAGUUGGGGGCAUUAGUAUUCAAUUGUCAGAGGUGAAGUUCUUGGAUCUAUUGAAGACUAACUACUGCGAAAGCAUUUGCCAAGGAUGUUUUCAUUAAUCAAGAACGAAAGUUAGGGGAUCGAAGACGAUCAGAUACCGUCGUAGUCUUAACCAUAAACUAUGCCGACUAGGGAUCGGAUGAUGUUAAUUUUUUAAUGACUCAUUCGGCGCCUUACGGGA
rnacentral:rRNA from 1 species